rnacentral:rRNA from 1 species
GACGAACGCUGGCGGCGUGCCUAAUACAUGCAAGUCGAGCGAAGUUUUUCUGGUGCUUGCACUAGAAAAACUUAGCGGCGAACGGGUGAGUAACACGUAAAGAACCUGCCUCAUAGACUGGGACAACUAUUGGAAACGAUAGCUAAUACCGGAUAACAGUAUUUCUCGCAUGAGAGAUAUUUAAAAGUUGGUUAUGCUAACACUAUGAGAUGGCUUUGCGGUGCAUUAGCUAGUUGGUGGGGUAAAGGCCCACCAAGGCGACGAUGCAUAGCCGACCUGAGAGGGUGAUCGGCCACACUGGGACUGAGACACGGCCCAGACUCCUACGGGAGGCAGCAGUAGGGAAUCUUCCGCAAUGGGCGAAAGCCUGACGGAGCAACGCCGCGUGAGUGAAGAAGGAUUUCGGUUCGUAAAGCUCUGUUGUUAGGGAAGAAUGGAUAUGUAGUAAACUAUA